UGAAGGCUUUCAUUGGAAUGAUGAGUCUCAUAUGUUUGAGUCUCUCUGCUCCACUUGAUCUAAGAGCUCCAGGCGGAGUGGAACAGAUCCAGGCUCAACCUAUGACAUUUCCUGGACAACCUUUGGCGCAACAAUCUCGAAGAAAUAUCACCUCCCACACAUACACCUACCCAAUCUUUCCGAGACUGGAUAAUUUCUACUAUACGUAUCCAUCUGGCUCAAUGACCCCGGUCUUCAACCUCUACCGGUCCUUCUCACCACAGGUCUACUUACCACUAGGCUACACACCGCCCAUUUACACCCAGUACCCGUCUCUGAACAGAGACAUGACCCCUUACACUGUUUAUCUGAGACAGGGAAUGUGAUCAGUUUGUCGUUUUGUAGUAGUACUAUGAGAGAUCACAUUUUUUAUUA